CUCCGCAGCCGGCCGCCGGUGCCUUCGGGGGAAGCGCUUCCCGGAGGACCCGGAGGCGCGAGGGGAGGCGGAUGGGGGGCCGGCUAGGGGCCCCGGGCACGGGGUGGGAGGCGGGGGACGCCGGCGGGGAGCACGGGGCGCGCGGCGCCUCGGCCUCUGCCUUCCCCGCCCCCGGGGCGCCCCGGGACCGCCGCCCGCCUGCACUGGGAGCUUUGUUCUUUUCCCUCCAACUACCUGUCUGAGCAGCGGGCCGGCGGGGGCCCCAAGAAAGGGCCGUCUCUCUUGGAGGGUCUCCCCAUCAGCAUCCGAGGGGCGCUCUGGGUGAGAGAGGGGGCAGUGCCCGCGUCUCCAGCCCGCCCGCCCUCCCUCCUUUCCUCCCUCUCCCCUUUCCUCUUUUGUUGCCUCUACUCUCGGACACGACACAGCCUUGGCUGUUUCUCCCCCUCCCGCUUGGGAGUUUGCAGUGUGGACGCACAGCGAGCACAGAUCCACAUGGGACCGUAUCUGCACUUAACCUCCACGGAACGGAGUUACACAAUCAGCUGCCGUGUGUGAACUGUGGCAUCCGUGUGGCAUAGGACCAGUGUCACUCACGAAAGCCUGCUGUGUCCAGGAGAACGGAGACCCUUUCUCUGUGGCUGCUUGCCUCGCUUUGCGGUUCACCGGGACCCUUUAAUUUCACUUUGCUGGAGAACCCAGCUUUCAAACUCACACCACUCUGCAGUCAAAUUCGAAGUCUGUGAAAACACGACCAAGAGAACGUUCUUUGGCCUGAAGGUUUGAGGAUAUCACAGGAAGGCCUCUCAAGCCCUCUUCUGGCAUCUCGAAAGCAGAAGAAGGAACCUGUGAUCCCAAGGCUGGACACGGGGCAUAAAAUUCCUCCUCUUUCCUUCUUGCUCCUUCACCCUCCUCGUACACCUGCCAGUAAGAGGCAACAUGACAGACUAAAGCGUGACAAAAGAAAGCGAUAAGCUAAGCAAUAGAUUUAGCAAAUAAAAAUAUUGCUGGGGGCAUAAA